UACGUAGGGCGCGAGCGUUGUCCGGAAUCACUGGGUUUAAAGGGUGUGUAGGCGGAUUUUUAAGUCAGUGGUGAAAUCUCCGGGCUCAACUCGGAAACUGCCGUGGAUACUAUCAAUCUUGAAUAUCGUGGAGGUAAGCGGAAUAUGUCAUGUAGCGGUGAAAUGCUUAGAGAUGACAUAGAACACCAAUUGCGUAGGCAGCUUACUACACGAUCAUUGACGCUGAGGCACGAAAGCGUGGGGAGCAAACAGG
rnacentral:rRNA from 1 species